UUCCGGUUGAUCCUGCCGCCGGCCACCGCUAUCAAGUUCCGACUAAGCCAUGCGAGUCAAGGUAUCGUAAGAUGCCGGCACACUGCUCAGUAACACGUGGACAAUCUAACCUUGAGUAAGGGAUAACCUCGGGAAACUGAGGGUAAUACCUUAUAAUUGCUUAAAACUGGAAUGUUUAGGCAAUAAAAACUCUGGUGCUCAAGGAUGAGUCUGCGACCUAUCAGGUAGUAGGUGGUGUAAUGGACCACCUAGCCUCAGACGGGUACGGGCCCUGGGAGGGGUAGCCCGGAGAUGGACUCUGAGACAUAAGUCCAGGCCCUACGGGGCGCAGCAGGCGCGAACACUGUGCAAUGCGCGAAAGCGCGACACGGGGAGCUUGAGUGUCUUGGCAUAGCCAAGACUUUUCUCAUUCCUAAAAAGCAUGAGGAAUAAGUGCUGGGUAAGACGGGUGCCAGCCGCCGCGGUAACACCCGCAGCACAAGUGGUGGUCACUUUUAUUGAGCCUAAAGCGUUCGUAGCCGGUUUUGUAAAUCUUUAGAUAAAGCCUGAAGCUUAACUCCAGAAAGUCUGAAGAGACUGCAAGACUUGAGAUCGGGUGAGGUUAAACGUACUUUCAGGGUAGGGGUAAAAUCCUGUAAUCCCGGAAGGACGACCAGUGGCGAAAGCGUUUAACUAGAACGAAUCUGACGGUAAGGAACGAAGGCUAGGGUAGCAAACCGGAUUAGAUACCCGGGUAGUCCUAGCUGUAAACACUGCCCAUUUGAUGUUGCUUUUCCGUUGAGGGAAGGCAGUGUCGGAGCGAAGGUGUUAAAUGGGCCGCUUGGGAAGUAUGGUCGCAAGACUGAAACUUAAAGGAAUUGGCGGGGGAGCACCGCAACGGGAGGAAUGUGCGGUUUAAUUGGAUUCAACGCCGGAA
rnacentral:rRNA from 1 species